rnacentral:rRNA from 1 species
AUUGAACGCUGGCGGCAUGCUUUACACAUGCAAGUCGAACGGUAACAGGGAGCUUGCUCCGCUGACGAGUGGCGAACGGGUGAGUAAUGCGUCGGAACGUGCCGAGUAGUGGGGGAUAACGCAUCGAAAGGUGUGCUAAUACCGCAUACGAACUGAGGUUGAAAGUGGGGGACCUUCGGGCCUCACGCUAUUCGAGCGGCCGACGUCGGAUUAGCUAGUUGGUGAGGUAAAGGCUCACCAAGGCGACGAUCAGUAGCGGGUCUGAGAGGAUGAUCCGCCACACUGGGACUGAGACACGGCCCAGACUCCUACGGGAGGCAGCAGUGGGGAAUUUUGGACAAUGGGCGCAAGCCUGAUCCAGCCAUGCCGCGUGUCUGAAGAAGGCCUUCGGGUUGUAAAGGACUUUUGUCCGGGAGCAAAUGCUGGUGGCUAACAUCCACCGGAGCUGAGAGUACCGGAAGAAUAAGCACCGGCUAACUACGUGCCAGCAGCCGCCGCAGUAA